rnacentral:rRNA from 1 species
GAUGAACGCUGGCGGCGUGCCUAAUACAUGCCAGUCGAGCGAACGGACGAGAAGCUUGCUUCUCUGAUGUUAGCGGCGGACGGGUGAGUAACACGUGGAUAACCUACCUAUAAGACUGGGAUAACUUCGGGAAACCGGAGCUAAUGCCGGAUAAUAUUUUGAACCGCAUGGUUCAAAAGUGAAAGACGGUCUCGCUGUCACUUAUAGAUGGAUCCGCGCUGCAUUAGCUAGUUGGUAAGGUAACGGCUUACCAAGGCAACGAUGCAUAGCCGACCUGAGAGGGUGAUCGGCCACACUGGAACUGAGACACGGUCCAGACUCCUACGGGAGGCAGCAGUAGGGAAUCUUCCGCAAUGGGCGAAAGCCUGACGGAGCAACGCCGCGUGAGUGAUGAAGGUCUUCGGAUCGUAAAACUCUGUUAUUAGGGAAGAACAUAUGUGUAAGUAACUGUGCACAUCUUGACGGUACCUAAUCAGAAAGCCACGGCUAACUACGUG